rnacentral:rRNA from 1 species
GAUGAACGCUGGCGGCGUGCCUAAUACAUGCAAGUCGAGCGAACGGACGAGAAGCUUGCUUUUCUGAUGUUAGCGGCGGACGGGUGAGUAACACGUGGAUAACCUACCUAUAAGACUGGGAUAACUUCGGGAAACCGGAGCUAAUACCGGAUAAUAUUUUGAACCGCAUGGUUCAAAAGUGAAAGACGGUCUUGCUGUCACUUAUAGAUGGAUCCGCGCUGCAUUAGCUAGUUGGUAAGGUAACGGCUUACCAAGGCAACGAUGCAUAGCCGACCUGAGAGGGUGAUCGGCCAAACUGGAACUGAGACACGGUCCAGACUCCUACGGGAGGCAGCGGUAGGGAAUCUUCCGCAAUGGGCGAAGGCCUGACGGAGCAACGCCGCGUGAGUGAUGAAGGUCUUCGGAUCGUAAAACUCUGUUAUUAGGGAAGAACAUAUGUGUAAGUAACUGUGCACAUCUUGACGGUACCUAAUCAGAAAGCCACGGCUAACUACGUG